rnacentral:pre_miRNA from 1 species
GCUGACUUUGAGUCUUUCCUCAGGGUGCUGUUGGCAAAGCUGGGGAGCCAGGGAGAGACGUAAGUGAGG